AAUAUUGCACAAUGGGCGAAAGCCUGAUGCAGCGACGCCGCGUGAGGGAUGACGGNCUNNGGGUUNCNAACCUCUUUCAGUAGNNNNNAAGCCUUUCGGGGUGACGGUACCUGCAGAAGAACCGCCGGCCAACUACGUGCCAGCAGCCGCGGUAAUACGUAGGGCGCAAGCGUUGUCCGGAAGUAUUGGGCGUAAAGAGCUCGUAGGCGGCUUGUAGCGUCUGCUGUGAAAACGCAAGGCUUAACCUUGCGCCUGCAGUGGGUACGGGCAGGCUAGAGUGCGGUAGGGGAGACUGGAAUUCCUGGUGUAGCGGUGGAAUGCGCAGAUAUCAGGAGGAACACCGGUGGCGAAGGCGGGUCUCUGGGCCGUUACUGACGCUGAGGAGCGAAAGCAUGGGGAGCGAACA
rnacentral:rRNA from 1 species